rnacentral:rRNA from 1 species
GACGAACGCUGGCGGUGUGCUUAACACAUGCAAGUCGAACGGUAAGGCCCUUUCGGGGGUACACGAGUGGCGAACGGGUGAGUAACACGUGAGUAACCUGCCCUCAUCUCUGGGAUAACAGUCGGAAACGGUUGCUAAUACUGGAUAUGAGCUUGCAAGGCAUCUUGUGGGUUGGAAAGAUUUUUUUGGUUGGGGAUGGACUCGCGGCCUAUCAGCUUGUUGGUGAGGUAGUGGCUCACCAAGGCUUCGACGGGUAGCCGGCCUGAGAGGGUGACCGGCCACAUUGGGACUGAGAUACGGCCCAAACUCCUACGGGAGGCAGCAGUGGGGAAUAUUGCACAAUGGACGGAAGUCUGAUGCAGCAACGCCGCGUGCGGGAUGACGGCCUUCGGGUUGUAAACCGCUUUCAAUUGUGACGAAGCUUUUUGUGACGGUAGCAGUAGAAGAAGCACCGGCUAACUACGUG